CAGACAGCAGCGCACACGUGGGAGUGAUUUGUUGUGAUGGCUAACUGAAAUGACGAGACUGGUACCAUCAAAAACAGCCAGGAAGACAUCACUAAAGUGAUUUUUUCUUGUAAAACUGUGGUCUUCGUAGCUACUUAGAUUUCACUUGGAUAAACUUUUGACUGCAGCCUUCAAUGAAACAGGGGUGCCACACAGCCUUCUCAUACUCUGCGUUGUGUGUCUUUCUACUGUGGCGGUUCAAUGUUUGUCUAGUCUUGAAUAUUUUGGAGCACUCACGACAUCUGGUGUCUAACUUCUGCAGGUCAUGAGUUGGGACUGUCUCUUCAUUUGCAGAACCACCAGCAACCUAUGAUGAGAAUGAGAUUCCUUCCUCUGGGUGACGUGCUUGUGCGGCAUGUGGCAUGCACUCUCAUACUGGGGGAUACCUAUGGGACUUAGUACCUCAUGAAUACCAGGUCCAGUGACUUUUCUGUGGUGUUCUUCAUGGCGCUUCCUCAACUCUUCAGAUGAGAAAGAGAGUUCACAGUGGAGCCGUUGGCAGGAAAACAUGCCUGGGCUUAUUUCUACAAUGGAAUUAUUGUGUUCAGCUCGUUUGGACUCAACAGAAUAUAUGGAGCAAUGGCAUGUGAUGAAAGUAAAACUGUAACCUGGAGUUGGAUGACAAGAAAUCAGGGGGACACUUUGGCCAACUGAUAUCAACAGGAACUUGGAUUCCACACUUUGUCAGGAAUUUAUU